GAAGCAGGGUUGGAACUAGAACAUUCGGGCCCUUCAGGAACUGAGUUUGAUACUUCUGAAUUAGGGCUCUUCCUAAUAGAAUUAAACUUCCCUGCUCAAAGCAUCAUGGCCCGAAGUGUCCAUCAGUUGUAUCCUUCAUUCUAAAGGACCCUUCAAAGUAGCCAGUUUUGCGUACUUCGGUUUGGAAUGACACUUCAAUAUGGCAGCCAUGAAUGUUUUCAGGCCGAAGUGCCCUUCAGAGGGCGAUAUUUCCUGUAUGAGCAUACCAAUGACUUCUGCUGAGAACUCAUCACUGAAUUGAUCCAGAUGAUUAACAAGCAAGAUUUGUUCGGAGAGCAACCAGUAAAGGAAAUCCUGGUCUGCGGGUUGGUCAAGACAACUCUUAAUCAUUGAGGAAUCAAUUAAAGCAGACUUAAACAUUCUGGUGAACUGGACUCCACACACAGAUGUUCUUUUGAUACAAAUUUAUUGCAAAUAUAGAAUUAGUUUUUUUGUACAGAAGUUGAAAAACAAUCAUCACAAAAAACAAGAACAAUGAAUGCCUAAAAAAGCAGAAUGGAAUAAACCAGUUCAUGGAUCCAAUUUAGAGGACAAAACAUGUUUAUACAGAUCCCAAAUCAGUCUCUCCUUCAUCAUAAAAAGAUGCGAAGCUUUCAGGUCUGGUGAUCAGAGCAAACAUGACCUAUGACCUCUUGUCCAACUGCUUGUCCUCUUGAAGACAGGGAUAAAUUAAGCAAAUAUGAACUAACAGCCCAAAGAUCUAAGGCUUAUUUUUUUUAUUCUGAACCCAAUCCCAAAGUGUACACUUAAUGUGCUCUUGUGGACAUACUGUAUGGUGGCUGCCAAGUGUAUCUGUCCAUUAGGUUUACUAGACUGUACGACAACUCUAGACCUGUUGGACCACAAUUCUUCAAGGUUUAGCACCAUCUGUCUGUAAUUCUAAUUCUGAAGACAUAUGUUAUAUUAUUCAGGUAUGUUCGAUUGUGGAUGUAGCUGAUCUUUGCAGGACAGAGUCCUUCCAGUAUUGGGGUGCCCAACUCUUGGUAUAAGGUGCCUCCCAUUUAGAGGGAUCUCAAAUGUGCACAGAUAUUACCCUAAGCAGACUUCAACCCUACUCAUAGUUACUAAUAGCACAAGAGUUUAGGGUGCCAUUUGGGAUUAAGCCAUAGAGUAUAUUGAUGUGAAGGGAACAAGAUUCCAUGCGAUCCUUAAAGACUCCCAAGGGUCAAACUGACUUUUGCAACCACUUCUGCUGUCGUACAUGAAUUGGAGCAAGCAUGUUUCCAAUCGAUUGUGGCCAUCGUUGUCUCCAAGCAAGUGGUGUACAGGUUUCCCAGUUUACACUAUGAAUUAUAAAUAAGUACCUCACAAUUAAGGUAUAUUUAGAAAGGUUUCCAGAGAAGCUCAAUUGGCAAAAGAGAUUGUCCACGUUUCUUGGCAAGGAAUCGAAUUUGAUGACAAACCAUUCUUUCUUUACUGCUUUUGACGGUCCAAGGAGGCUUUCAUAAUACACAUCUUGAAAGAAAACAGCUGAAACAAGCCUUGUGGGAUGUCUGUAGAUCGAUAAUCAGGAGAUGUGAUUGAUCAGUGCUUGUAAAAGAAUUCAAUGCAAGAGGAAGCUAGAAGAACUCAACCAACCUCUAUGCUUAAACUCUUGAUAAAGUGGGGUUGAUUAUGCAGAAGACAAACAUCAUGUGGAAAUUUAACAACAGUUGAGGAAAUGCAUUGUAAAUGCCAGCGAAGGCAAACACUAAAGGCGACACUGAAACCAAUUUUAGUUUACCACUGAGUUUGGAUUACAUUAAAUAUGUAAAAUAACUAAGUAAUCAAACUAAAUGCUAAAGCAAUUUCUACUUUCCUUGGUGAAGCGCUGUAGGGGAGAGUAGGCAUUAAUUACUAAUGGGAUUAUUUUGCAAAUGCUAAUAGUUUGUUGUUAGCAUUCUCCACGGUUGACCUCCCGACCAAUGACUGCUAAUCUUUGUAAACAGGGAUAAAUGUCAAUUAACCCUGAUGGUAUUAAGUGAAAAUAUCUAAAUAGUAUGAGAUGGGUUGUACUGUGAAGGCCAAAAUAUAUUAACGGUGUACAACAAUGUUUACAGUACAAUGUUUUGGCGUAAAUGAUCACAUCUGACAAGGACCUGACCUAUCAUUUCAUCAAGCAUUUGAUUCAUUUAAUUCAGCAGUUGUAUACAUAAUGCAUGUAAAUGAGUUUAAAUAUUAUGGCAGUGGAAUGAAAAGUCUGUUAGCAAAGGUUAGAGGAAAAUAAAAUAACAAUGUCAUGGAAACGUUUCAGUUUCAUAGUGUUUGGAAAAACAUCCACUCAGCAUACACAACAAUAAAUUUUAGGCUCACUGAAAAUACAGAAAAUCAUGCAAAUAUAACACUUUAUUUAAUUUUCAUGUUUUUUUUUUCAGUCUAUAUUUUGUCAUCUUAAUUACAGAUCAUUGCACGACCCCGACCAUUAAAAAAAAGCCCUCCCAAAAUACACUCCAGUCCCACCCAAAACAAUGAUAUACAGAACAAGCUUGGUAGAAAAACAGUCAUAGACUCUUUACAAAAUUCACAGAUGUUUCGCAUUUCCUUCUUUUCAAUAAGUAACUCCGUUCAGGUGACCUAAACAUUGUAAACUUGAUCAGCGCACAUUGACACAAAAAUAAAUAAAUUAAUAUAUAAAAAGACAACACACAUAAAUCAACCCUAAUAUGGUUCAUAUCCUAGAUGAUCAUUUUAAAAUGCCACAUUCCCACAAUGCACUCCUGAUCAGCUCAGCAACCGCUGGCCUUUAUGCAACUUAUGAAAUACAUGACUGCUUUUUCAUUAACUUUCAGUAUUCAAAGAUGAAAUAAGAGAAGGAAUUUGUAAUAUCGCAUAAAUCAAAUCACAAAGCCAAUCACAGAAGUGAAAAUGAGAAACUGCAUCAUACGGUAUCGGUUAACAUGAAGGAAUACAUCGCUCUUCAGGCUGGCUUCAACAGAUUGCUAUGCUGCACUAACUCCGAGAUGAUUAUCUUCAGCGCAUUAUGCAUGCAGAGAGCACAAGAUCCCACAUGCUGGACGUGGACUCAUUUAGAGGCCGCUGGAAUUAGACACGUUCUGAAUAUCACACCCGGCAAGAGACUGAAAACAUGCUGCUACGUAAAAUUACCCUCUCUUCAGAUGGCCGUCAAAUUUGAACAGAGUAAAAUGAGGUUUAUUAUGGGUUGUGUGAUUGCUAGUCACUCAAAUAAACAUACUACACACAUUAAUGUAAGCUAACAUGCUAAUCCUCAGACCAUUAGUCAACAAAAAACUCAUUAACCACAGAAGGUUUAGCGUGGUGCUAGGCACCGUGUUAAUCUUUUGUUCAAGCAAUACACAAGUUAGGAUGCAAAUCCUCACACUAACAGUCAACCAACAUCUCAUUAUCCAAACAAACAGCUUUUAGCAUUAUGAUAGGACACUUGUUAGCAGCUUUUCUGCAUUCUUUUAACCAUUCCAAGCCUAAUUGAAUGAUAUAACUGGAAUUAAAUAGUAUCACAAUGUUUAAGCUAACUGAUAUAACAUUAGUGUGAUGGGGCGACGUAUGGGCUUGGCACUACAUUUCCCAUAAGUCCGUAGCAGAGCGUAACGUAGCAUAACAGGUGUCAGUACGCGCUAUAAAUAGACGCACAACAGCAUAGCGUGCUUUUGGUUGUCAUUCAUUGAGGCUACAAACAAGUGGGUAUCAAGCAGAAUCCCACCCGUGUUAAUGGUGAUUGGCCUGGUGACACAGUCGGCAGAUUUUAACUGAUAUACUACUUGUGUGAAUUACAUUCAAAAGGUAAAAGGAACUUAAAAUGCUACUUUAAUAUUUACUAUUACAUAAUGUGAUUAUUUAAAUAAAAUGGUUUUAUAGGUUCUCUAAGAAGAAACUCUGGGAUGGGUUUUAAUUCCUUUUGGUUAGGUCCCGUUAUGUAAGGUAUUUGAAUUUUAUCCAAAGCCAUUUUAAUGCAGAUUUAAUAUUCACAAAUAUUUAUUAAGUCGUUUUUGUGUUACAGGACUAGCACGACUAUUGUUACUAUUUUUGUUUGUUGAUUUAGGUGAAAGGCCCUGUUUGUUGUGUGCUGUGUACAAAUAUUAUUGUAACUUUUUCUUUGGUUUGUUUUGUUACUCUUGUGUGUUAAAGGGCAGCCGCUCGUCUCCUCCGUGGGUGUGACUGGCACUGGUGAGGUGGUGGGACCCUUUAAUGGUUUGUGGUGAUUUGUGUAUAUUUUUGGAGUGCUGUGGUUGCUGUAGUGUGAUUGCUGUGCUAUUGGGAGUUGAGAGCUUCUCAUCUGUUGCAUCUUCUCACACUUCGUCCUGCCCCGUUGUAGGCCUGAGGUUUGCCCUGAAGGUUUUGUUAUUUUGUGUUGCUUACUUUAGCAUUCUCUUUUUAAAUUGAAAUUGCCCCAUUUAUGCAAUGUUUUAACGAGUAACUGGUUUUGUACUUUAUAAUAAAAACUGUUUGAAUGAG